AUAUCUCUCCGUACGGGAAGGAUGAGAAGCUUCGACUAAGGUUCGAUUCGAGCGAAAGCGAGAAAGCGUUGCCGCAGGCAACGACCCGAAGGGCGAAGCGCGCAGCGCUGAGU
rnacentral:sRNA from 1 species